rnacentral:rRNA from 1 species
AGUGGAUGGGGAGCAACCUAGUUGUGCGUGUGUAAAGGUAGUGCCAAGAAAAGCGAUGAUCAUGUUGAAAAUCAAUUCCCGGUACCCGAAACCGACACAGGUGGGCAAGUAGAGAAUACUAAGGGGCGCGAGGUAACUCUCUCCAAGGAACUCGGCAAAAUGACCCCGUAACUUAGGGAGAAGGGGUGCCACCGAGAGGUGGUCGCAGUGAAGAGGCCCAGGCGACUGUUUAGCAAAAACAUAGGUCUCUGCAAACUCGAAAGAGGAGGUAUAGGGGCUGACGCCUGCCCAGUGCCGGAAGGUUAAAGAAGUUGGUCAGUUUUAGGAUGAAGCUAGCGACUGAAGCCCCGGUGAACGGCGGCCGUAACUAUAACGGUCCUAAGGUAGCGAAAUUCCUUGUCGGGUAAGUUCCGACCCGCACGAAAGGCGUAACGAUCUGGGCGCUGUCUCGGAGAGAGGCUCGGCGAAAUAGGAUUGUCUGUGAAGAUACGGACUACCUGCAUUUGGACAGAAAGACCCUAUGAAGCUUUACUAUAGCUUGGAAUUGUGUUCGGGCUUCCUGUGCGCAGGAUAGGUGGGAGGCGUAGAAGGUAUUCUUGUGGGGAUACUGGAGCCAACGGUGAGAUACCACUCUCAGGAGGCUAGAAUUCUAACUUAAUUAAGGACAGUUUCAGGUGGGUAGUUUGACUGGGGCGGUCGCCUCCAAAAAGGUAACGGAGGCGUACAAAGGUUCCCUCAGACUGGUUGGAAAUCAGUCGAAGAGUGCAAAGGCAGAAGGGAGCUUGACUGCGAGAAGUACAGUUCGAGCAGGGUGGAAACACGGUCUUAGUGAUCCGACGGUGCUGUGUGGAAGGGCCGUCGCUCAACGGAUAAAAGUUACUCUAGGAUAACAGGCUGAUCUCCCCCAAGAGUUCACAUCGACGGGGAGGUUUGGCACCUCGAUGUCGGCUCAUCGCAACCUGGGGCGGAAGUACGUCCCAAGGGUUGGGCUGUUCGCCCAUUAAAGCGGUACGUGAGCUGGGUUCAGAACGUCGUGAGACAGUUCGGUCCAUAUCCGAUGUAGGCGUGAGAAUAUUGAGAGGAGCCUUCCUUAGUACGAGAGGACCGGGAAGGACGCACCGCUGGUGUACCUGUUAUGAUGCCAAUUGUAAACGCAGGGUAGCCAAGUGCGGAGAGGAUAACCGCUGAAAGCAUCUAAGUGGGAAGCUCACCUCAAGAUGAGUAUUCUGGUGUAAGGUCACGGGAAGACGACCCGUAAGUAGGCACGAGGUGGAAGUGCAGAGAUGUAUGAAGCCGAAGUGUACUAAUAGACCGUCGGCUU